ensembl:lncRNA
CAUGGGCCAGGCUCUCUGCUGGGUCCUUGCUACUCAAAGUGUGUGGUCCUCAGACAGGAAGCACGCAGGCUCUUCUUGGGUGGUUCACUCUGAUGAGCUGAGCUGCCAUGUUGCCAGCUGCUCUGUGGAAAUUCCUGCACAUCAAGGCAUUGAAUGCAGCCUUCAGCCAACAGCCAGUGCAAGAACUCAUAAGGAACUGAAUCCUGCCAACAGCCACUGAAUGAGCUUCGAAGCAGAUCGACCCCUCUCUUGAGCCCAGAGAUGACUUUAGCCCUGGCGGACGCUUUGAUUGCAGCCUGAGAGAGACCCAGAGUCAGAGGACCCAGUGGUUGGACACAGAAGAUGCAGGAGAGGACUUCAGUGAAGACUUAAAAGAACAACUCCAGACUAUGAAAGAAAAGGCUGAGAGCUGAUUGAGAAGUUGAAGGGUUUCUUCAGAGUGAGAGCUGCAUCUUUUCCUGUGAUUCCCACCCCUCACCUCUAUGGAGAAGACAUCCUUCCCCUUUACUUGGGCUAGUUGGUAGGAACCUUAGGAGAACCGUCUGUGCCCACUGAUGGGUCUGUGUGGGUGUUGGGGGUGGAGACCGAUGUUUGACUCAGAUGAUGCAAGAGGCAGUGGUUAGCGCUGCCCUUGGGUAGUGUUGAGACUGAGAGACAAGGCUACACUGGAAAGUGCCUGUGCUCUGAGGUUGGCUGGGCCCAUGAACCUCAGUGCCUUGGGGGCUGGCUACAGACUCUUGUAAGGAAGCAGGAUCGUGUCCUUUUGAGAGAGAUCCAUCCAAGAGGACUAGUGGGAGGGCCUUAGGAAUGGAACCAUGGAAAACAAGACUGAGCGUGUCUUCAGUGGCCACCUGGGGGAGGCUUGGUCCAUAUCAAGGGAACUGCACAAUAGAGACCCUGAGCAAUAGGAGGUGCCCAAAGACCCCCACCCCAAGUGGUCCCAUGAGAAAAAGAUUCAGCAUCUGGAUUCUGCCACAUCCGGAAGUCAUCAAUGCCAGAUUUCAGCAGUCCUGUCAUAGAAGCUUUGUCCUGUACUUCUCUUCUUCCAAGCCUGUGCCCCUACUGGAGGGUCCCACACAGCAAACAAUAAGUAGUGGCUCAAGGAAGGGAAGAAUCCAACCAUAGCUUCCUUUCCUAUGCCAAUUCCCCCUCCCAGUGAUUGAAUUCUGCAGAGGAGAGAGGUUUGCAAUUGACUAAGAGCUUGGAAGUUUGUUGUGGUCCUGGGCUAGAUGCUUUGUUACCUAAAAGUGACCAGACAGUUUUACUCACUGAAGCACGAUGACUAGAAAGGCUCUGCAUUCUGCUCAGGAUUUCAGGCGGGUAGGGGGUGUUUGGGGUCCCAGGGUGGCUGUGCCAGGGCUGUGGGGAGAAGGGAUCAAUUGCUUCUUGCUUGUAACCGCUGAGUCCUCCAAAACACCCUGAAUAACUGCGUUUUCUGCCUUCUCGUGGUAUAAUUUCAGCCAUGUUCUUGGCAUGAGCUGACUCAGAAAGAGAUUGGUUAGUAAAGAUUUUUCUGAGCUCCCCAAAUUUAAAUUUCCACCCCCAAUUUCAUCUCCAUUCAGUGCCAUGCUGAGCCAUUUUAGAGCCAGAGGCAAAAGGAAAAAUCAGUAACACCGAUCCUGUGUUUAUUCAAAGUUGUGAUAUUUUGGUCGUCAGGGAUUUUCUUUGCAUUAAUUUUGAUUUUUUAACAUAUUACAUUAAAAUAUUGCUUAUCUUGGGGCUGGCCCAGUGGCAUAGCAGUGAUGUUCGAGUGCUGUGCUUUGUCAGCCCAGGGUUUACUGGUUCAGAUCCUGGACACAGACCUACACACCACUUACCAUGCCAUCUUGUGGCAGGCGUCCCACAUAUAAAGCAGAGGAAGAUGGGUGUGGAUGUUAGCUUAGGGCCAAUCUUCCUCAGCAAGAAGAGGAGGAUUGGCAGCAGAUGUUAGCUCAGGGCUAAUCUUCCUCAAAAAAAAAAAUGCAUAUAUAUAUAUAUAUAUAUAGCCUAUCUUGAUUAUUGAGUUUUUUUGAAGUCUCUUAAAUUUUAUGCCCCAAGCAAGUGUCUCAAUCACCUCACAUGAGUCCCAGCCCUGUCUCCACCCCUAUGUCGCCCAGUUCAACACCAUUACCAGCACUUCCAUUCUGAAGAAGAGGAGGAAAUAGGGCCAGCCCUCAAGAUGAGGAACAGUUUCCUAUCAAAUCCUUCUGCCCUGUCGUCAGAGGUCUCUCACCCCAAAUAGGCAACUUCUGGACUCCCCGGUGCCAUAGCCCAAACAGUAAAAAUCGGAAGGUUAUGCGUUUGCCUGUGAGGAGCAUAUAUUGUUCCAAUUUCCUGUCUAGACCACUGUUUACAGAGAACUAGAAGUGCCCCCAGGGUCCCAGCGUGCUUCACAAGUGGAAGGAUUCAUGUCAACCAUUCUGCACAAAUCUAGUCCUUCAAAGCCUUUUUGCCUUGAAGAUGCUCUGUCUGGGGUAUUUGGAGGAGGGAGAAACUUGGCAGGUUUUGUUUCUGGUCCUUUCCUAAUAUAACUUAGUAUUUAAGAGCAUGAACUUAGCUAAAAGUGGGAUUUGAUCUCCCAUUCCCUGACAUUCUCAUUGUGAAAUCUUACUUCUUACUCCAAACCUCAAUUUCCUCAUCUGUAAAAUGGCUCCUCAUAGAACAUGCGUAAGCAUGCAGGAGUCUGUUUAGCUCAGUGUGGCUGGAAAAAGGGGGAUGAAGUGACAGAUGAAUCUGUAUACAUAGGGGAAUCCAGAUUGUAAAAUGCCUUUAACUUCAUUGAGGGUCAUGUGGCAUAAUCCAUGCACAGCCCUUAGCUGUACACAGAGGACACAUGCACUAAACGAUAGCUACUGUCAUUAUUACACUUUUACGUGAUCAACAAUCUUGCUAACAGUGAAUUGGAGUGAAACUACACAUGGCAGAGACAUCGCUUCCUUGGAUGUUUCACUCUUUACUUACUAAUUUUAGCUAGUUGGCCUAAAAUUGGGCAGGUUGGCCCAAAAAUCAUGCUGGGUCCUCAGCAGUGUGGAGGCAGGAUAAAAAAGAGGACUUCAGGAUUGGGUGGGCAAGGGGACCACAGCCUGGCCUGAGAAGACCAGCGUGGUCUAUGGGUGGAGGGAAAGCACUCGUGGUUCAAGUAGGCACUGGGCUAACGUCAGACACAGUUAUGGUUGUCCAGGGAGCGAAGGAUCGAUCCUUAGGGUCGGAUGGACAGGUUGUGAGAGCAAAGCUGGGGUCCAGGAGUGAAUGAUGGGCUUUGCCAAGCCUUGCCAACUCCAACCCACCUGGUUAGCUGCCAGACAUAGUGUUUUGAGGAGGGUCCUGAGGUCAUAUCCACUUCAGUGGGGACAAGUGUCCUCAUUGAUUAGUGACGUCACCCCAUGACUCGGAUGGUUCCUCCACAUUAAGGUUCUAAAGGCAAUAUUUGAGACUACUCUUGGCGAGGCCCCAGACAGUGGCUAGGAAUAAACAAGGAGGUAUCCAACUUCCCUGGAGAAGGGGGCCGUACAGAUUUGCAGUAGAAGAACUAGGAGGAGCGGAAAACAGCUUUCUCCUCGGUACCCCUCCUGCCCCUCCCUUAGGAAUGGAGUCAACAAGACCUAAAUAUACUGAGCCAAACAGACAGGGCUUCAGCCCCAGGGGCUGAAUGGGUAACAGGGAAAUGGGUAAGGGUCUUGCAACCAUGUUAGUUUAAACAUCACCAGCAAUGGGGAGGCUGUGAGUCAUGGUGCUCCUCAGGCGCACAGGCACCCCUCAGUCUGUGUUCACAAACUGACCCCAGCUGCAUCCACUGGAGGAAAGAGGCUGUGUGGGAAAGAGAGCCUUGAGGGAGGAAGGCCUGGGUGCCCAGAGGAGGGUGAGUCUAGGACAUCAAGGCCAAAACCAACUGGUGGUGAAGCAAGGACUCUUUUCAUUGAAAUGACCCAGUUAUAUUAAAUGUCCACCCUGCAGACGCAAGAUAGAUGAGAACAUGGAGUUGCAAAUUAGGACAAGGUGCGCACUUUCCAGAUCUCCUGACCAGACUGGUAAAUGCUUGAAAUUUAGGCAUAAGUCAUUAGUGAAGGUAAUUUUUUCCUUAUUUUAUGUUAAACUAUUUCAAGCGAAGUCUCUUCUAUUUGGGCAACCUGCUUCAACGUGUCAGGACAAGAGAACGUUUCUGUAUGUCGAUUCCAUCUCUUGUUAGGCAAUUUUAUCUUCAUAUUCUUGUUUUGAUCUUCACAAAGAUAAAGAAUAGGCCAUUAUCCAUAUACAAUGAUUGGUGGACUUUGGGCAAGAGCGCCAACCUCUCUGUUCCUUUAACUGUUCGAUGGGGUAUGGUAAUUGUUUGGAUGGGGUCGACGUAAAGAUGAAUUGAGUGAACACAUGUGAAACACUCCUAACAAUUCCUGCACAACUCAGUAAAAGUUAGCUAUGACUGUCAUCACUAUUUUUGCUCCAUCCCUGAACAGAAAGACAAUUACAGAAUAGUCUUACCACUGAAAAGACAGGACAAAAGCAAAU